UACGGAGGGUGCAAGCGUUUAUCCGGAUUUACUGGGUUUAAAGGGUGCGUAGGUGGGUCUGUAAGUCAGUGGUGAAAUCUCCGAGCUUAACUCGGAAACUGCCAUUGAUACUAUAGAUCUUGAAUUAUCUGGAGGUAAGCGGAAUAUGUCAUGUAGCGGUGAAAUGCUUAGAUAUGACAUAGAACACCAAUUGCGAAGGCAGCUUACUACGGAUCGAUUGACACUGAGGCACGAAAAGCGUGGGGGAUCAAACAGG
rnacentral:rRNA from 1 species